rnacentral:rRNA from 1 species
GACGGAGGAUGCAAGCGUUAUCCGGAAUGAUUGGGCGUAAAGCGUCCGCAGGUGGCAGUUCAAGUCUGCUGUCAAAGACCGGGGCUUAACUUCGGAAAGGCAGUGGAAACUGAACAGCUAGAGUAUGGUAGGGGCAGAGGGAAUUCCUGGUGUAGCGGUGAAAUGCGUAGAGAUCCGGAAGAACACCGGUGGCGAAGGCGGUCUGCUGGGCAGUUGCUGACACUGAUGCGCGACAGCGUGGGGAGCAAACAGG